rnacentral:rRNA from 1 species
AGCGGAGGAAAAGAAACCAACAGGGAUUGCCUCAGUAACGGCGAGUGAAGCGGCAAAAGCUCAAAUUUUAAAGCUGACAUCUUCGGUGUCCGCGUUGUAAUUUUGUGAGGCAUCUCCGGGUAGGGCGCCGGCCUAAGUUCCUUGGAACAGGACGUCACAGAGGGUGAGAAUCCCGUGCUUGGCUGGCUGUCCCCGUCCAUGUGAGGUGUCUUCGACGAGUCGAGUUGUUUGGGAAUGCAGCUCAAAAUGGGUGGUAAAUUUCAUCUAAAGCUAAAUAUUGGUGGGAGACCGAUAGCGCACAAGUAGAGUGAUCGAAAGAUGAAAAGCACUUUGAAAAUAGAGUUAAAAAGUACGUGAAAUUGUUGAAAGGGAAGCGCUUGAGACCAGACUUCGGUAAGGGGUGAUCAGCCGUCCUUUUGGGCGGUGCACUUGCCCCCCUCCGGGCCAGCAUCGGUUGAGGCGGCGGGAUAAAGGUCCCGGGAAUGUGGCUCCUUCACGGGAGUGUUAUAGCCCGGGUGAAUGCCGCCAGCUUCGACCGAGGACCGCACCCGCAAGGGUUAGGAUGCUUGGCAUAAUGGUCUUCAGCGACCCGUCU